rnacentral:rRNA from 1 species
CAGCAGUCGCCGCGGUAAUACGGAGGGUGCAAGCGUUAAUCGGAAUUACUGGGCGUAAAGCGCACGCAGGCGGUCUGACAAGUCAGAUGUGAAAUCCCCGGGCUUAACCUGGGAACUGCAUUUGAAACUGUCAGGCUGGAGUCUUGUAGAGGGGGGUGGAAUUCCAGGUGUAGCGGUGAAAUGCGUAGAGAUCUGGAGGAAUACCGGUGGCGAAGGCGGCCCCCUGGACAAAGACUGACGCUCAGGUGCGAAAGCGUGGGGAGCAAACAGGAUUAGAUACCCGUGUAGUCCCUGUCUCUUAUAC